rnacentral:rRNA from 1 species
AUUGAACGCUGGCGGCAUGCCUAACACAUGCAAGUCGAACGGCAGCACAGAGGAGCUUGCUCCUUGGGUGGCGAGUGGCGGACGGGUGAGUAAUGCAUCGGGAUCUACCCUGACGUGGGGGAUAACCUCGGGAAACCGGGACUAAUACCGCAUACGUCCUACGGGAGAAAGCGGGGGACCUUCGGGCCUCGCGCGGCAGG